UACAGGGGGGGCAAGCGUUGUUCGGAAUUACUGGGCGUAAAGGGCUCGUAGGCGGCCAACUAAGUCCGACGUGAAAUCCCCAGGCUUAACCUGGGAACUGCGUCGGAUACUGGUUGGCUUGAAUUCGGGAGAGGGAUGCAGAAUUCCAGGUGUAGCGGUGAAAUGCGUAGAUAUCUGGAGGAAUACCGGUGGCGAAGGCGGCAUCCUGGACCGACACUGACACUGAGGAGCGAAAGCCAGGGGAGCAAACGGG
rnacentral:rRNA from 1 species